CAGAUCAGGCCUAACACAUGCAAGUCGAACGAGACCUUCGGGUCUAGUGGCGCACGGGUGCGUAACGCGUGGGAAUCCGCCCAAAGGUUCGGAUAUAACUCGGGGAAACCCGUGCUAAUACCGGAUAAUGUCUUCGGACCAAAGAUUUAUUGCCUUUGGAUGAGCCCGCGUUCGGAUUUAGCUAGUUGGUGAGGUAAAAGCUCACCAAGGCGACGAUCCGUAGCUGGUCUGAGAGGAUGAUCAGCCACCACUGGGACUGAGACACGGCCCAGACUCCUACCGGGAGGCAGCAGUGGGGAAUAUUGGACAAUGGGCGAAAGCCUGAUCCAGCAAUGCCGCGUGAGUGAUGAAGGCCUUGGGGUUGUAAAGCUCUUUUGCCCGGGAUGAUAAUGACAGUACCCGGGAGAAUAAGCUCCGGGCUAACUCCGUGCCAGCAGCCGCGGUAAUACGGAGGGAGCUAGCGUUGUUCGGAAUUACUGGGCGUAAAGCGUGCGCGGCGGAUUGUUAAGCAAGAUGUGAAAUCCCCGGGCUUAACCUGGGAAUGGCAUUUUGAACUGGCAGUCUAGAGUGCGUCAGAGGGGGGUGGAAUUCCACGUGUAGCAGUGAAAUGCGUAGAGAUGUGGAGGAACACCAAUGGCGAAGGCAGCCCCCUGGGAUGACACUGACGCUCAUGUACGAAAGCGUGGGUAGCAAACAGGAUUAGAUACCCUGGUAGUCCACGCCCUAAACGAUGUCAACUGGUUGUUGGGGGGAGUGAAAUCCCUUAGUAACGAAGCUAACGCGUGAAGUUGACCGCCUGGGGAGUACGGUCGCAAGAUUAAAACUCAAAGGAAUUGACGGGGACCCGCACAAGCGGUGGAUGAUGCGGUUUAAUUCGAUGCAACGCGAAAAACCUUACCCACCUUCGACAUGUACGGAAUCCU
rnacentral:rRNA from 1 species